rnacentral:lncRNA from 1 species
UUUUUUUUUUUUUAUGGUCACACCUGCAGCAUAUGGAAAUUCCCAGGCCAGGGGUCAAAUCAGAGCAGCAGCUGCUGGCCCAUGCCACAGUCACAGCAACUUCUUAACCCACUGAGCCAGGCCAAGGAUCAAACCCACAUCCCCAUAGAGACAAUGUCAGGUCCUUCAUUCGCUAAGCCACAAGGGAACUUCUAGAGAUCUUCUAAAAUCUCUUAACUUUGAAAAUGAGAGGAGGCUGGUACCCAGUAGGUGGGGACAGAUCGUGGGGGAAUCCAGGGUUGACAUGCAGGGGAAAGAACACCACUGAUGAGAUGGCAGAUGAGUCAUUCAUUCAACAGAACACUGCCUCUGUACCAAGCACCUCACUCACCAGGGAUGGGUGAGGGAUCCUGAAGUUCCCAGCAAAGUUCUCAGGCCAGCAGAAGACUCAGAGAUUCCAAUAAAGAAAGUCAAAUACAUGAUGGGUGGUUUAAUAAGUGGGAGGGGUAUGACACGUUAUCUUCUCAUAUAACUACUUAAACCCACCAGUAUGUUUAUUUGCUGCAAGAUAAAUUCGUUUCUUUUACUCUGUGAACACCAGACAAAGGUGUUUAUGACCUGAAGGUUGUGGUCACUGGUGUGAUGAAACAGUGACAACUCCAGCAGCUGUAUGGACCCCUGCAAGUGGUCUCAGGAACUCUAGCCACCAGAAGUAUGGAUGUUUUACUCUGAAAGGCCAGAGUGUGAAUUCUGCUACUUUCUUAAAGGGUUAGUUUGAGCAAAUUGCCUAAGGAGCAUCAGUUUCCUAAUCUGAAAAACAGGAAUGAAAAUCUCAGCAUUGCAGCCCUGCUAAAAGGACUGUGUGUGUGUGUGUGUGUGUGUGUGUAGCAGGGUGUGGUGAGCAUGAGGGAUGUCAUGUUACUCUCCUGGCAUGCAGAAGCAGCUCCAUAGAUGAUGGCUGUUAUGAUCCUGGUUAUUAAUAAUAAUAAUAGCUAUGGAGGGUGGAGGAGACCCUGAUGAAUAUUUAAGAGUGGCCUUUACCUUACUACAAAAGGAAAACAUAGCUCAUAAAGGAUAAAUGUAAACUAGAACAAAUAGCUAAAUAUCUGCUUCCCUUAUGAGCCCAAAUGUUCCUCCCUCUAGGUUUAUGGGGCCCAUGAUUAUCUCUGUCAGCUGGGAUAUUCAGAUAAAUGCACUAUAUUAAAGAACAGGGCUAUUCUAUGGAAAUCACUCAAUAAAAUAAAGAAUCCAGAAAUGACAGAAGCCUGAUGAUUAUUUUAUUUGAUCUGUUUAUCUCUGUGUCUCUCUGCCAUCUGUCACAGCCAUACCUGAGGGUAGGCUCCAGGGAAUCAAGGUGUACAGUGGAAGGAAGAGCCAGGCCUAGGCUCUGAGGGGGCAGUGUGUGGCUGGUUGAAGGUCAGUCUGGAUGAGGCAGAACUGGAGAUGUGCUUUUUUCUCCCUGUCCCAGGUGCCCACAGAAGCCAGUUAAGGGCAAAGGACAAAAGCCCAGAGCAAGAUCAGACUCUCCAUUGAAGAUCCAUAUCUUUCUUACUAAGAAAUAGGUCAAAACAAAAUAAUGAGGACUAAGAAAUGAGGUUGGUGAUCUCUUAGGUGGAAGGAGGACAACCCUGAUCAGGACCCUGACGUGGGGAGCCAAACUCAUGCCCAGGGCUAGAAAGGCUGGGUUUGGUCAUCAAGCCACAGGCAGGGACACAGGAGGCUAAAGGUGCAGCAGCUGCCAGAGAAGUCAGACUAAUGGAGAUCUCCUACCAAUGGCUGCCUGCAAUGGACUGAUCAGAGUUUUACUUGGCAGCCCUUCCCACAGGGAGAAUGUGUUUUCCCUACAGGAGCCUGUUCUGUUUUGAAAUAGGAGAGGGAAAGAGGAUGGAGCCUGGUCUUGCUUGGGCAGUGGCCACCACAUCUGAGGGACCUACAUCAUGUCUCUCCUGAGCAGCUAUGUCCAUUCAUGGAAAAGAAAGAUGUGGUGACAUCUGGAUUGAAGUCAAAUAAAAUACAGGCAUUCCCAUCAUGGCGCAGCGGAAACAAAUCCGACUAGAAAACUUAAGGUUGCAGGCUUGAUCCCUGGCCUUGAUCAGGAUCGAACCUGCAACCUUAUGGUUCCUAGUUAGAUUCGUUAACCACUGUGCCACGAUGGGAACUCCUGGGCCUGACCCUCACUGCACCUCACUUUCCCAGCAAGACUCGUUCUAUCUGAGCCAUGAACUACAGUCCACCAGGAGCCCACACAAGGGCAGGCAGAACCCAGACAUCCUAUGCUGCUUUUCCCCUUCUGCCUUCCCCAAAGACACUUGACACUUUCCUUCUCAACAUCUGGAGUGCUUUUCUCUACUCUUUUCUGCUUAACUAAAGGACUCAAAGGUGUAGCUCCUUCCCACUUUCUCUGACACCUAAGAUGAUACCUGUCCUUUUCCCUAGGCAGGGGCACUUGAUUUUCUGAUGCUCCUGAAGACAGGGCAUAUCUGUGUUUCUUUGUGUACUGUCCUUAUAUCUAUGGCUGAUAAAACAUUGGGUCUAUGAUAAUUUUUUUGGCCAUGCCCAUGGCAUGUAGAAAUUCCCAGACUGGAGAUCAAACCUACACCACAGCAGUGACCCCAAGCCACAGCAGUGGGAACACUGGAUCCUUUAACCACUAGGCCACUAGGGAACUCCUAUGAUAAUAUUUUUAAUGGUAUAUUGGACGAAUGAUACAGCUAUAAUCCCCUCUUCUCUGGCUCAGAUACGAAGCUGUCCAUGUUCACAUCAAUCUUAGGUACUGCCCCAAAUAUGUCUUCUUGCUCAGGAAUGUGACAGUAAUUGUUACUGUUUGUCCUUUGAGAACCUGCUGUGAGGAAAUCACUGUAUUUACAUUAACUCUCCUCAAAUGCUUCACUGAAAUGGGGUGAGAAUUAUUUUUAAAAUCAUGAUUCACUAAGAAGAAAAGAGACCCAAAGAGAUUAAGUCAUUUGGUCAAGUUCACAGAGCUACUGCCUGGCAGAAAGAGAAUUCAAAAUCAGAUAUCUUGGAAAUCCUUACAUUAACUCAUCUCAUAUGCCCCACACCAUCCUGCUCUAUGCAUAGUUCUCAAGGAGUUUUCUGCUUAGAGAAAAAUUUAAUUCUGUGAAUGGGAGUCCUAGCAGUAGACUCAGCAAGCAACAACAGCCUCCUAUGGUAAGAGGGUCUUCAUUUCUGUUUAAGGUAAGUUGUUCACUGUACCUGUACCCUAGACAGUGAGAGCUAGGUUCAUAUUCUAAAAUGUUGAGUGAAACAAGAGCUUGGGGCUGUUAUUUUUAUCUCCCUGUUGGCCUACACUAGUGGGGCCCUUUGCCUCUCCAGGAAGUACCUGCAAGUAUCUGGAGACAUUUUUGGUUGUCACAAUUGAGGAGGUAAGUGUGGCUUAGGGUCACCUGGUAGGUAGAGGCCAGGAUGCUGCUAAACAUCCAACAAUGCAUAGGACGACCCCCUCUCCAACAAAGAAUCAUCCAGCCCAAAAUGUCAACGGUGCUGAGUUAAGGAAUCUUGACUGAGAAGAAAGAAAGCUUUUAUAGUCCUGCUCCCAGCCAGCCCCAAAUGCCCCUCAGGUUGGCAUCUGGGUAGCAAAAAGAUCAUUGUCUUCUUCUUGCUUCAGAUAACAUCAACUUUGGGUUUGGGGUCUGAGUGUUAGUAUAAGAGGGGACUUUAAGGCCAUGCCUGCACCUCUAAGGUACAGUCUUUAGAAUGGGUCUGACAGCGUGUCUGACAGGACCACUCUUGGGGUCUCGAGAUGUCUCACCUCUGAUAUCUCCCAGGUUUCCAUAAGAACAUGUGCCCUUAUCAUUUAAAGCCCUCUUUGGUCAUUUCUGUCACAUCACAAUCCCCACUUCCCCUUCCUCCAUACCCUACUUCUCUUCAUUCUGAACUCCCCAGCCAGUUUAAAACUCUUUCUGCCUUUGUCUUUUGUCACACAUUAUUCUUGGCAUGUGCCAGCCAAAACCCCUGGAUCCUUUCAAAGGCAGUUCUGGACUCACCUCACUGAGGAAGAGAGGGUAAGAAAGGCAACUUCCUUUGCCACAGAACUUCUCAAAUUCAUCCACAAUCCUGCUUAUGUCACAUGAUUCACUGUAACAAUCGGCUCACCUCAUGAUCAGUUCACCCAGUGUUGGGGCUUAGGGCAGAAUUUGGGGACAGUGGCCAUGACCAUUCAAUGCUGGAACCAGGUUUACUAGAAGAAUUUCCUGAAAAUUCUUCCCCUCUGAAAGUCCUCAGAUUUGUUCUUACUCUCUGUCCUUCUACUCCAGAGUCCGAACCACAGAAGAAAAAGGGACCAUCAUCAAAGAAACAAAAGGAAGAUAACAUAUGAUAAGGCAAAUGUCGUUAAAAUCGUAUUUUACAAGAUCUGUUCAUUCAGUAUGUUCUGAGUAAAUGGAAUCCUUUAACCUUGAGGAUGCACAGGAAAAAAAUGCCCUUGGCUUG